GACGUAGGGCGCGAGCGUUGUCCGGAUUUAUUGGGCGUAAAGAGCUCGUAGGCGGUUCGGUAAGUCAGGUGUGAAAAUCUCCACGCUCAACGUGGAGACGCCACCCGAUACUGCUCUGACUUUGAGUUCGGUAGGGGGAGUGGGGAAUUCCUGGUGUAGCGGUGAAAAUGCGCAGAUAUCAGGAGGAACACCCGGUGGCGAAAGGCGCCACUCUGGGGCCGAAAACUGACGCUGAGAACUCGAAAAGCGUGGGGGAGCAAACAGG
rnacentral:rRNA from 1 species